rnacentral:rRNA from 1 species
AUUGAACGCUGGCGGCAGGCCUAAACCAUGCAAGUCGGGCGAGCGGAGGACGGGAGAGAAAUGUAUGGGGAUCUGCCUGAUGGAGGGGGAUAAUUACUGGAAACGGUAGAUCAUACCGCAUACCAUCCGAUGAAGCCAGAUGGGAUUAGCUUGUCGGUGAGGUAACGGCUCACCUAGUCGACGAUCCCUAGCGGGUCUGAGAGGAUGAGCAGCCACACUGGGACUGAGACACGGCCCAGACUCCUACGGGAGGCAGCAGUGGGGAAUAUUGCACAAUGGGCGCAAGCCUGAUGCAGCCAUGCCGCGUGUAUGAAGAAGGCCUUCGGGUUGUAAAGUACUUUCAGUCGGGAGGCGUUACCGACAGAAGAAGCACCGGCUAACUCCGUGCCAGCAGCCGCGGUAAUAC